GCAGUGGUGGUUCAGUGGUAGAAUUCUCACCUCCCAUGCGGGUGACCUGGCUUUGAUUCCUGGCCAAUACA
rfam:Loxodonta africana unplaced genomic scaffold scaffold_2, whole genome shotgun sequence.